UAAAAUGAGCAAGUGGAUAAAUAAAGUAAACAAUGAUACAUUCUAAUAAUAUUCAAAAGAAUUUUAAAAAUGUAAGGUUAUCGAUAAUUAUUUGUCUAUACUUUUCGACCCUUAGUUCAGAUUUAAAAUUAUUCAAUAUUUUAUCUUCAUAUAUGUAUGUGCAAAAAAAUGCAUAGGAGCUGUAAAUAUAUAUACAUUGUAUAUGUGUUAUGCCAAUUAGCAGCAAGUGCACAAAACACAUUUCCAUUAAGAAGUUCCGACAUAUAAAGAGGUCGGUGCAAGCCAAAUCAGUGCAGUGGCAUACUAGACCUUUGCUUGUCGCUAUAUCGGUUGAAAAAUGAAAGUUCCAAUAGCCAUAUAUUGUGUCUUCAUGUUGCUAAUCUCAACUGGCGCAGAUGAUGAUACGGCAAAGGCAAGAAACAAUGCUCUAAGGACGCGCAUUUGCUCAGCGCGCCCCGAAUAUGGUUAUUGUGAAGGACACCGUACGUUAUGGUUCUAUAAUCCCGGUCGAUUCCGAUGCGAAUUGUUUGAUUACUCCAACUGUGGUGGCAAUCGCAAUAAGUUCUUCGCCGAAGAACAUUGUAUAAAUUUUUGCAAGAAAAAAAUGCUCAGCUAGUUUUGCUUAUAUAUCAGAAUAAUCUUUAUAUAUACAAAAGUAGCACAGGCAUUGUAAAUAAAAAGCAAAAAAUGAAUAUCAAGAUCAAUAUAAGAAGUAUGCUGAUAGGAAAAUACAAAUACCACUAUUUCAAAUCAAAA